rnacentral:tRNA from 1 species
GCCCCUGUAGUUUAGCUUGGAUAGAACUCCGGCUUGCGGAGCCGGCAGCCCGGGUUCGAAUCCCGGCAGGGGCA